UACGUAGGGAGCAAGCGUUGUCCGGAAUCAUUGGGCGUAAAGCGCGCGUAGGUGGCUUCGUAAGUCCGUUGUGAAAGUCAAAGGCUCAACCUUUGAAAGCCGAUGGAUACUGUGAAGCUAGAGUACGGAAGAGGCGAGUGGAAUUCCUGGUGUAGCGGUGGAAUGCGCAGAUAUCAGGAGGAACACCAAUAGCGAAGGCAGCUCGCUGGGACGUUACUGACACUGAGGCGCGAAAGUGUGGGGAGCGAACAGG
rnacentral:rRNA from 1 species